rnacentral:rRNA from 1 species
AUUGAACGUUGGCGGCAUGCUUUACACAUGCAAGUCGAACGGUAACAGGCCGCAAGGUGCUGACGAGUGGCGAACGGGUGAGUAAUGCAUCGGAACGUGCCCAGUCGUGGGGGAUAACGCUGCGAAAGCUGCGCUAAUACCGCAUACGAUCUAUGGAUGAAAGCGGGGGACCGUAAGGCCUCGCGCGAUUGGAGCGGCCGAUGUCAGAUUAGGUAGUUGGUGGGGUAAAGGCUCACCAAGCCAACGAUCUGUAGCCGGUCUGAGAGGACGACCAGCCGCACUGGGACUGAGACACGGCCCAGACUCCUACGGGGGGCAGCAGUGGGGAAUUUUGGACAAUGGGCGCAAGCCUGAUCCAGCAAUGCCGCGUGCAGGAAGAAGGCCUUCGGGUUGUAAACUGCUUUUGUACGGAACGAAACGGUCCUGGUUAAUACCUGGGGCUAAUGACGGUACCGUAAGAAUAAGCACCGGCUAACUACGUGCCAGCAGCCGCCGUAAAAC